ensembl:lncRNA
GGUUAGAAUCAGCAGUUGAUAAAGUUGCCCUGAGCUGAGCUAAACAAUUUCUCGGAAUGGCUUCGUUCAGCAGUGAGGACAUGCAGGGAGGAAUAGGAGGGGGCAUCAACGAUACAGCAGAUGAUUUCCUGUUUGGGGUAAACAACGCUAACCUGGGCAACUUUCUAAGUGGAAUCAACCACAGGUGCCCUCGGCAGUCUCUCUUCCAGGCAGAACGGACAUACCAGAUGACUCAUCUGAAAGUUUACAAGCAGAAUUUCUUCAAACAUUCCUUGCCGUCAUGCCUGAAAAUUAGCAUUUUUAUAGUCUCUUAUUUCAUGGACACCAAAACUGGAGUUAACUGAAUCAGGAAUCCAACCCUGCCCCCUGCCCUGGAAGCACGGCGUCCCAACUACUGGAUCACCAUGGAAGUCCCUACCAACACCAUUUUUAUUCAACAUUCU